rnacentral:rRNA from 1 species
GAUGAACGCUGGCGGCGUGCCUAAUACAUGCAAGUCGAGCGAACAGACGAGGAGCUUGCUCCUCUGACGUUAGCGGCGGACGGGUGAGUAACACGUGGAUAACCUACCUAUAAGACUGGGAUAACUUCGGGAAACCGGAGCUAAUACCGGAUAAUAUAUUGAACCGCAUGAUUCAAUAGUGAAAGGCGGUUUUGCUGUCACUUAUAGAUGGAUCCGCGCCGCAUUAGCUAGUUGGUAAGGUAACGGCUUACCAAGGCAACGAUGCGUAGCCGACCUGAGAGGGUGAUCGGCCACACUGGAACUGAGACACGGUCCAGACUCCUACGGGAGGCAGCAGUAGGGAAUCUUCCGCAAUGGGCGAAAGCUUGACGGAGCAACGCCGCGUGAGUGAUGAAGGUCUUCGGAUCGUAAAACUCUGUUAUUAGGGAAGAACAAAUGUGUAAGUAACUAUGCACGUCUUGACGGUACCUAAUCAGAAAGCCACGGCUAACUACGUG